rnacentral:rRNA from 1 species
GCUCUCGAACCCUAGAGAUAGGGCUUUCCCCUUCGGGGGACAGAGUGACAGGUGGUGCAUGGUUGUCGUCAGCUCGUGUCGUGAGAUGUUGGGUUAAGUCCCGCAACGAGCGCAACCCUUGAUCUUAGUUGCCAGCAUUCAGUUGGGCACUCUAAGAUGACUGCCGGUGACAAACCGGAGGAAGGUGGGGAUGACGUCAAAUCAUCAUGCCCCUUAUGACCUGGGCUACACACGUGCUACAAUGGACGGUACAAAGGGCAGCAAGACCGCGAGGUUUAGCCAAUCCCAUAAAACCGUUCUCAGUUCGGAUUGUAGGCUGCAACUCGCCUACAUGAAGCUGGAAUCGCUAGUAAUCGCGGAUCAGCAUGCCGCGGUGAAUACGUUCCCGGGUCUUGUACACACCGA